rnacentral:rRNA from 1 species
AACGAACGCUGGCGGCAUGCCUAACACAUGCAAGUCGAACGAGACCUUCGGGUCUAGUGGCGCACGGGUGCGUAACGCGUGGGAAUCUGCCCUUGGGUUCGGAAUAACAGUUAGAAAUGACUGCUAAUACCGGAUGAUGACUUCGGUCCAAAGAUUUAUCGCCCAGGGAUGAGCCCGCGUCGGAUUAGCUAGUUGGUGAGGUAAAGGCUCACCAAGGCGACGAUCCGUAGCUGGUCUGAGAGGAUGAUCAGCCACACUGGGACUGAGACACGGCCCAGACUCCUACGGGAGGCAGCAGUGGGGAAUAUUGGACAAUGGGCGAAAGCCUGAUCCAGCAAUGCCGCGUGAGUGAUGAAGGCCUUAGGGUUGUAAAGCUCUUUUACCCGGGAUGAUAAUGACAGUACCGGGAGAAUAAGCCCCGGCUAACUCCGUGCCAGCCGCCGCAGUAAGAC